rnacentral:rRNA from 1 species
UACGUAGGGUGCAAGCGUUGUCCGGAAUUAUUGGGCGUAAAGAGCUCGUAGGCGGCUUGUCACGUCGGGUGUGAAAGACCGGGGCUUAACUCCGGUUCUGCAUUCGAUACGGGCUAGCUAGAGUGUGGUAGGGGAGAUCGAAUUCCUGGUGUAGCGGUGAAAUGCGCAGAUAUCAGGAGGAACACCGGUGGCGAAGGCGGAUCUCUGGGCCAUUACUGACGCUGAGGAGCGAAAGCGUGGGGAGCGAACAGG